rnacentral:lncRNA from 1 species
UUUUUUUUUUUUUUUUUAUGUUUUGUUGCUUACAAAGUUGGAGUUAGUAUUUACUUGCAUCAUAAACGCAUUUUUAAUCAAAUUUUUUUAUUAUAUUUUUAUCUUAUAUACAUCACAUCAUAAUCUAUACUACAGUAAUUAUUUCAAAAAAUUUGCUAUCCAAACACACGCUUUGAUUGUUAGCUACUGUUAUGCGGUCAUAAUUGUGAUGAUCCACCUAACACAAGGUGGCACUAAUCGUCUUUAUUAAAAGCAAGAUAACAACGUUCGAUGGUCCAUAAAACCGUAAUAAAAGUUGUAUUUAUUUGGAGUUAGUUGACAGUUGAGACUCAUUGUUAAACAUUAGCUGUCCGUUGUCUAUGGAUCUGAUUCUAUUGCCUUGAUCAAAGAGAAGGAUGCUUAUCAGAGUAACAGUACUCAGCAGAAGCAAAGCUCCAAAUUUCAGUCCAUUGAUAAUUAACGAUCGAAGAUGGACUGGUGUUUCUCCCAGAUUGUUCUCCAGGACAUGAAUCUUCUUUUAGCAUCCCAGAAAUCUUUUGUAACCUUUCUCACUCUGUCUUGGGCCAUUCUUGUGACCUUUCUUCUCUGCAUCGCAUGCUAAGCUAGAGUCCCGGUCCUGGUCUUCCAAAUUGGCCAUAGGCCAUACUAUUAUUCAUUAAUCAUUCAUGAGGUUCCUCCCGGCAAAGUUUAGAAGAAUCCAACAAACUUUUUAAACAUUAUGGAUCACGAGCAUAGCCGUGUGUCUUGCUCUAAAUGCAACAGGACUCUGAUUCCCCUGGAGGGUGAUAUUAGCUUCAUGAUUCUCAUCUUGCCUUCCUGAACCUGUAGAAGAUGUAAAACCAUGAUCUAACUUUUCAGAACCUGGAACUGUAGAUGAACUGAAGACAAAGUUUUGCAUUGAUCAUCCUCUUGUUUAACUUUUUGGACGACAGGAUUGUUCGAAUGUCUUGCUGACAGACUAUGCUUCUCUUCCAGAAGCUGCAGCUGCAUCAAUUAUAAUUUGUUGCAGUCAGGAAAAUGACCAGUUGUGCAAAUAUCUACAAGGAAAUUCAUAAGUACGUACCAAAAUGACACAAAAUAAAAUGAGAAAGUAGUUCUACUAGAUGUUGAAGCAUCUCGAUAAGAAACUAUAUAUGUAGUCGAAGGAAAAGAGAAAUUUAACAAAAAUUACGAAAAUGGCUAAUGAUUUACAGGGCGAUCAAGGCGGUCUAAUCUUGGGAGAACAGGGGUGGUUAAAACUUGUUCUUGCAUUUCUUGUUUGUCCAUGAUGUUCAAAAUUUGAGGCCUUGUCCAGGGCUUUGUUGUGAGGACUUAGGAGGUACCCAUGACCUUGACUACUUCCUAUCUUUCUAUAAACGGAAAGAUGUAGAAAAUAUAUCUUUGCAUUUUAUAAAGAUGGACUCACGGUUUGCUGUUCAGAUAUUAAUAGUUGUAUGUGUGAAUAAUGAGAAAACAAGAUGUGGACACUGGCUCUGAAGUGGUAGCUUGUAAGAAAGGAAGAUAUAACAUAAUAGUUGCGAUUUUUAAUACUACUAUUUGUCAAUCAAAGUAGUAGUAGUAGUAAAUGACAACCACCGCGCCACACCCUCUUGUCACGUUCUCCCUUCUUGAUUAUGGAAACUGGUAGCAGACUUCAGCUAUUGCUUAUUCUUAUCUGAUCUGAUGAUGGGCACUGAUCUCAUAUCUCUACCGUUUCUCCCAUGCCACUCGUUUCUUCCUCUAUCUCUCUCUCGAUCAAAGUAUCGAGAUUGGAGUUAUCUUUGUUAGUCAAAUGCCUGCAUGCUAAGUUCAAUAUUGCCUCAUUUUAGGCAAGGUGAACUUACUGGAUGCAUAUCGUUUCUACUUUUCUACUGUAAAUAGAUGAUGCACACAAGAAAAUGCUGCCAAAGGAAAAGAAAUCUAGAACCCUUUUAAAUUCAUUUCUUGUUAUUUGAACAAACAAGCCAAGGAAUCGUCCCAAUAAACGUCAGUUUUUUGUGAGGUGUAGUUACAUUCAAAAGGUAGCAAUGGUUGGAUGCAAAGACAACCAACCAAGUCUUGACUUGCAUUAAUUUUUUUUCAAAUGUCUGUGUCAGUUUAAAGAAGUUUAAUGUAUUCUACGUCAUUUAGGUUAGUGUUGUGAAGACAAUCUAAGAUGAAAAGUUUUCUCCCAUAAGCAAUUAAGGAACAUACGUCUCGAAGAAGAAAUUUGCAGUUGAUUAAUGGAUCGAUGCUAUGGAGUUUGAACCAACUGAAUCUUCUUCACUAUGUAACCAAUUUUGGCUUUUCGCUCCCUUCCUAUUGAAAAUGAUGGGAUAUUCCAAAGUCAUCCAUGGAAGGAUUCGGGCAUGCUAUGCCAUUUCCUAGGAGGGUUGGAAUCAGCACUUGUAUUGGAGGUAUCAUUAGGCAGAGUCAAUAACCAAGCACCACCAAUGCAUUUCCAUUUCCACGCCAACAUAGUUAAGAUGGUUCCUAAGAAAUAGGUAAAAACAAAUACUACAAUGGUGACACUUCACCGGAUCCCUCACACGACUUGACAAAGAAUUUCCUUAAUGAUUGUCCAAUUUGUUCUUACAGAGAAUCCAAACAUAUAAAGCCCUUGAUUCUCUUUGAACUCCCAACAAGGAUUAUAUCUAUAUGGUAUGAUAGCUAUUUAAUAGUAACAAGAUGACCUUUCUUUUAAAUAGAAGAAGAAGAAGAAGAAGAAGAAUGUGGUACAUCUCUUUCCUAGGAAGGUUUUACACAGAGGCCAUAUCCACUAGUUGUUCGGGCAUGUGCAGAAUUUCCUCUUGUAAAUUGGCAAACAUUACAAUAAUUUGAACGCUUUCUUCAAGAGUCUGGUGUCUGUGUUUCAAUUCAAAUUCGUGAAAAUUAAUGAUUGCUUGAACUUGGCUUUAAUUAUUUUGGAGAAACAGUGUAGAGUGUGUGUACUAAUUCAGAUUUCCUUAUUUUAUGGUUGAUAGCCAAAGAUGCAGAAUCAUCAUGAUUUAUGAGCUUUAUGAUCUCCAUCAAAAGCCUUAAUCAAGCCAAAUGUGACGGACAUAGAUAUCCAUCCUCCUGUUAGAACUCUCAUUGCAGAUAAUCUUAUGGGUGAACCGCCAAGAAGGGCUCCAAGUCCCCCAAACAACACCAGAGCAAUAGUUGUUACCACCAUUAUUAUCACAAUCCUGGUUCCGUAUUGAGAUAUCGCCACAGCAGCCACUAGGGGAACCACCGAUCCACAAAGAAAAGCCAAGGCUGAUGCUGCCGCAGCCUUGUAUGGAUUAGGCAGGGCCUCCUCUUUGCCAUCAACUUGCUUUGCCAUACUUGCUCUUGCAUCUGUUACCAUGGAGACAAUUUCCCUUGCGAUGACUCACUUUCGCUGGCCAGAUUUACAAAUGGAGAUCUGUUUGGUUCUGGCACAGAUGGAUGAGGAGUUAGAAAAUGGAUGUUGAUAUUAUCACCAACUUGCAGGUCGUGCAACUUACCAUCUGAACAAGUUUUGUGGAUUGUUGAUUUUUCGAUGUCCCUCUGGGUUGCGACAGAAACAAACUCUCCAACAGCCAUGCUGCAGGCACCUGCAAGAGCUACUGCAGUCCCCGAAAUGAUCAUGGACUCCUGAUCGUCUUUUGCUGCACCUAUUCUGAGCAUCAUGGAUGCAGCCGAAAGCAAACCAUCAUUGCACCAAGAAUGGCUGCUCUAAGCCAUUGAGCUCUCUGCAUUCCCUGUCGUACUUUUUCUUGUGUAGCUGUUACAGAAAGCUUAUUUGCAGAACCAGGUUCAAUUGACAUAGAAGCAGCUAUGUAAUGUAGACAAAGGUCGGAAACGGAGUGUGGUCUUUGACUGGAAAGCACACUUCCUAAUUCUUUACUUAAAGUCUGCAAACCACACUCUAAUCACGUGGAAGCAAUGUGCAUGUUGAGAACAUAUACAAGUAACCCACCCUAUCCAAUGUCGUCCAAGAAACAGAUUCCCUUAGGGGGCAUCGGUGAAGGCUCCAAAAAUUGAAAUGUCAAAUUAUAACAUCAAAGCCGAAGACAGCUCUGAAGAAGCCCAUGCUGUACUUAUACAAGCUUCGUGAGUGCAACUUUGUUAACUUUCUUAUUCUAUUUCUCCAAAAAUUACAGCAGCUAGAAUGAAAUAAAAAUGUAUACUAACACAAAUCAAUUCUUACAAAAACAGCAUCACUCUGACACAUAAAAUACCUUAAAUAUACAACUUACCCAAAACUUUAAACAACAAUCUUGGACAUGAAAUUAUCUUGAAUUUGAAUAGAGAUCCAUUUUCAGACAAAAUACAAGCAUAUAUAUUAGGAGAAUUGCAGUCCCAUAGGGCAAUUAUCUCACCCGCGAGAUCAUGUUCCCAAGCUGAUGGUAGAAUUGUUCGUGAUAUAAACAUCUCGUUGCUCAUAAUAUACACUUAAACAGUACCAUUUUGAUUCAUAACAAGCCAAUUGAAACACUCCGAUGAUUUCUUCAUUCCUUAUGACACCAAACUCUCAGAUAAGUAAGACAAUCUUGAUAAUAAUGGUGAUGAGAUUAUAAUUAUGACAAUAACAAUACCAGCAAUAACAAGAAUCAGUGCUAUUAUGACGAGUUACGGAUAGAAUUCAAUUGAAUAUUUUUCCAUGACAAACGAAUUCUUUCCAACCAAUGGAACUUCACCAAUGAAACCAUUUCAGCUAGUUUACGGGCUCUUCCAAGUAGAAAACUGAUUUCAUUCUGUGACAAGCAAAUAGAACCAGCCUGCAACAGACAAAUCAUAAAUGAUGGCCACGCAAUAAGUUUAACAUGCUCCCAAAGUCAUUUUCCCAGCUGUCUCUGGCUCAUGUAGCUAAAAUCGUUGAUCAGUAUUAAAAUGUUUACCACUGUCUUUUACACGGAAAAGAAAAUAACUUCAUGCUCCAGCUUGAGACAGCUAGCUAACUAUACCAUGGGUGACACGCAUAUAAAACAUAGCAUCUAAAUAUAUCUUACCAGCACAUGCAAGGCCUUAAUACAACCAGUCACAUAUAACCAACAAGAGUCAAGUGGAAGGCAUCCUAUAUUUGGAAACUACAACUGAAAUACUAUAAGUAACCAUCCCUGCGGUCCUGCUCUUCUGCCUCCUUGUUAGCAACUUGAACUGCUUUGAACCAAAGGAAUGCCUGGAUAAAAUACAUCUGGUUAAUGUUAUGCAUCUUUUAUGAAUGAAGAUUCAAGGGUAGUUAGUUUCCCCGGAUUUGUAGUUCUAUUGAACUAAUGCCUAGUUUCCUUUAAUGUUAUGCAUCUUUUAUUACCAAAAAAAAUAUCUGGUUAAUUAGCAGUAGCAAGUUUAAGUAAAGCUUUCACUAUUAUACACUUGCAAUGCAAGAGCAUUAAAGAUGGUCCAGGAUGUUAAAACAGUUUUACUUGUAUCUUUAACAAUUUGCAGGAAGUGACAUUAAGCCUUUCAAGGUAUUUGAUAAGCUAGAUUCUGACAGAAAAAUAGCCUUAAAUCAACAGCAACAUUAAAGCAAUUUGAUGAGGUCAAAUUGUAACGAAUGCAAAGUCUUCAGAAGCGAUAUAGAGAUCAAGAACCACCCAAAUCAUUCUACUUCCUAGCUUGAGAAAGCGCCCCUUUCCUCUUCCCCUUCUCCGAAAGAGGAAAAACAAACAAUAGACAGACAAGAAUAACAGCCGUGAAUUUUAACAAUAAGGGUAUUAUAGAGCAGCAAUAUUGAAUUGUUCAGCGAGUGCAUCUACUUUAUCUAUACAAGAGAAGUGGUAAGCUUUUAACAUGGGAACUGAACUUCCAUAAGACCACAAAAUCUUUUUCAUUUUUUUCCUUUUUCUUUAAUUAACUCUCGUGUCAUGCAUAUCAACGCUUUGUAUAUGAAGUUUGUGCAAUGUCAGUGUAGAAAAGCGUAAUCCUGACAAUGAUAAUGCAUUGUUUAUUGACAAAUUUAUCAAAUUACUAACGACAAGAGCAGUUGUUGGAAAAGAAAAUUGGCUCACCGAAGAGGGGAUGCCAGUGAAAGCAAAAAAGCCAAGCAAUGGAGCAUAGAAUACAUUAUCUGAGUUCAAAACUCCAAAUGCAGGCCUUUGAUUCGCAUACUCAAAAACAGAACCAAUCUGCAAAACAAAAGAAAACCAAGCAAAAUUCAAAAGGUCUAUUAUAUCAGCAUCGAGUUCCACAGGGAAAACGAAAGAAAAAAGUCUGUAACAAACAAAUGUGAAUUUAAAUUCAAAAAAAUGAAGGGGCUUUACCGCAGCAAUGGCUGUGACAGCUGAGGCAAGCAAGUAAACAAAGUAGGGAACUUCAAAGCUAGAAGAAUCUUGCUGCGCCUCAUCACGGGCCCAAGGAGGAGGCUCAUCUGAGCCGGGCUUAGCCCAGGAAGGAACUGAAGGGGCAUCAUCUUCUCCAUCAUUCUUAGAAGAACCUUCUGUUAAGGCCGAAACUCUCAGCCUACGAGCAUUUUCAACUGAAUUUUUCUUCUUUGGUCCAGUUUUUAGGAUGAAUAGUGGUAAACUGAGGGAGCGAGAAAGCGGAAAUGAAUUGGGAUGCCAUGGUUUUGGUGAAUGAAUGAGUGAAUUCGAGUUGCAGAGGGAUGAUGAAGCCGACGUUACCAUUAGUUACAAGAUUUCAGGAGAAUAAGGUUAUGACUUAGUGCUCCUACAAUUUUCAGAAUGCAGAGUCGCAACAAGAAGAAUGGAGUGGAAGUAGAAAAGAGAGAGGGGAAAAAAAGAUUUUCUCUUAUCUUUUGAUUCUUGGAUUUUUUUUUUCAAGAGGAAAUUGGGGAGAAUUUUGAGAAGGUACGGUUCAGGUUUAUCCACAAAAUCCGUGUUGUCUUUUUCUAUUUCACGUUUGGAAAAUUAUUUUUCGCUCUAUUGUUUUGGAUAUUUUUCAAAAUCACGACUUCGUUUUCUCUUCUUAACCUGCAAAGCUAACUAAUAGCUCCAUUUGGCAUAGCUUACACAUUUUUUUUCCAGCUCCUCUCAGUCAUAGCUCCAUUUGGCAUUUGCUUGGUUUAGCAAGUACUUUGGCGAUUUUUAAAAGAAAAAAAGAUGGUACUUUACAUGUAUAGCAUGCAUCUAGACCCGCAAAUAAGGUUACUAGAAAUUCUAGCUGCUCGUUAACUAUUUAUGAGUAGCUCAAUCAAUGGUUCGACUUGAGUUUGGUCAAAAUCAAAUUCAAAUGGAGUUCGAGCACCUCGUUUGUGAAUUCAAGUCGAGCACAUGACGUAGAGAAGGAGGCUCAAAUGUUCGACGAGUUUAUUCGAGCAAUUAGGUUUUCUUUUAAUUAAAAAUAAUAUGUAUGUAAAAUUACACUUGUAACUAUGGAAGUUGUGAAAUUUAUCAGUAGAAAAUUCGAAUUCGACAUGGCUUGCAAGGAUUCUCAAGUUUAUUUGAGUUAAGCUCGAUCUCAUAUACUACAUUAUUACUUGCUUGAAUCGAGUUGGAGUUUAAAUAUUUUUAUUUGAUUGAACUCGAGUAGCAUUAAUUGUCAGCGAUCGAGUUCAAGUUAGAGUGUGGUAUCACUCAUCUUAACUAGCCUCGAAUGCACCCCUACACGUUAAGUGUAUACACUGACAAUGCGUAGAAGAUUUACCAUUCCCUUAAAUAUAAAACUCCGAAGCUGGAGAAAAGCAAUUUUGUUCCAAGAACCCUGCCAAAAACAAUAAAAAUGCAGUAGACUACAACCAUUGGCCAUCAUGUUCCAUCUUAUAGUGGGUUUGUGACCCAAAAUACAAAUGGCAAUUGCACAUCUAAAUAGUCAUUCAAAAUGCCGCAAGACUUUGGAGCGCUCCUCCAGUGACCCGAUUUUCCUUUAGUGCCUAUGAUCGGUGGGCCUGUUGAACUUUAGGCCUCUAGCCCAUGUGAAGACACACUAGCCCAUCCCAAAAUACCAUCGAGCGGUGAUUUUCCCAGCGGGUAUUGUAAAUACGUGCACUAAUCCGAUUCAUUAUUCAUGCUACCGUCUCAAAAAUUCAUUAGGCUUCUAAAAUAAGUAAAAUGAUUAAUUUUUCCUACGUUCCAAUGUAACCAUUGAUAGAUUUAGAUACACACUAUAUAUGUAGAAUUUAAUAUUUAAAUUUAAAUUGAAAUUAGUUAUCAUACAUUCAGAUAUAAUAGUGAAUGCAUAGGGAUAACAAUUAGGAGGGAUGAGCCCCGCCGAGAGUUGAUGGAAGAAUGAAUGCAUAGGAAUGACAAUUGAGACUCAUGUGCCUGUGGGGGUCGAUGGAGUAGAGGAUAGGACGGAACGAAGGGUUUGUGUUUGGAUUGCAUUUUCCGUCAUUUUUCAUGGAAAAAUUACUGUAACGAUUUGAUAUAUGUGAGGGAAAAAGGUGAUAGGGAGAUGUGAUCACGGAAAACGACAAUAUUUUUCAACGGAAACAAGCAAUCCAAACAAUGCCUAACUUUUCCCCCGCUAAAAAACGGGACAAUGGACAGGGGAUAUAUACAUAAAUAUUUUUAUACUAAUAAUUAUAUAUUUAUAUUAAUACAAAUUAUUGAUUAGUUGUACUAAUAUAUUUAUAUUAAAUUAUUAAUUACAUUUUUUAUUAAUUUUAUUUGUUUAACUAAUUAUAAGCUUUUUUGCCCCGCGGGUGUAGGGCAAGGUGAGGGUGAGGGUGAGGGUGAGGUGUGGAAGUGUUUGGGCAACAGGGCGGGGGAUAGGGGAAUGUGAACUGCAUCGGCGUAGCGGCAGCGCAAAUUCAGAGGCAUUGAGAUAAAUUCCAAUGCCCAACAUCUUGUUAGCUAAAAUAAAGGUAAGCAAACCAUUUUAAUUAAAACUAAAAAUCCAAAUCCAUCUCUUCUUCAUUACGCUUAAAACGUAAAAACAUAUGCAUAAUAGAUAAUUAACCAUGGAUGCCUUGUAAGGCUUGUGCGUUGAAAAUGAACUGGUGUCAUGAUGGCGAAACUCCAUAAUUAACACCAAUUUUCUUCGUGUUAAUAAUGAUAGUAGGAUCAUUAGCAUUCCAGUGUAUUUAUGCUUUUUUCUAGUGACCAUCAUAAUAAUUGUAACCGUUAUCCCUCUAUUUACCAUCAUUUCCCUCAACAACAUCCACCCCCCAAAAUGCCAUGGCCAUGACCAUGAGCUUCACAAAAGAGAAAAAGAACGGCAUUGGACCUGUUGCAAGAGUCUUUUCUCGCGCCGAAGAGCAUGGAAUUGUCAACUAACUUUCUUGAAAACCAUAAAAGCAGCGGCGUUUAGGUUUGUUCCCUUCAAGAUUUUGCCUUCAUGCCCUUAACGGGUUCUUUACACACUAGUCAACCAAAGUUCACAGCUUUCGGGGCAAGUCUGUCAUGCAAUACAUUUCUUACAAGUCUUGUUUUGCUUUUCAUGAUGGUUAUUCUGACGGCCAACUCAAUUGACAAGAACGGACCCUUUUUUUACAAGGUAUCCUGUCGUGUAUUUAAAUCUUAACAUCGAUAUGAAAAUUAUGUUGAUGAAUGAUGUAUAAGAACUCUUAGAAGUGACUUAUAAUAUAAUUGCAGGAGUAUACUCUAGUCUACGAUGAUGAUCGAAAUCGAAUCGAAUCGAAUCGAACUUUUUCUUCCCAAAAAAAAAAAGGAAAAAAAAGGGAUCAUUAUUCUAGCAUCGUAUGUGCCUCUUAAAAAUUGUUCAUACGGGCUUAGCGUAGACGAAAUCUUGAUAAUUUUAGAUAUUGAUGCAUAGAUGCAAACUUGCAGCAUUGAGGGUCUUUUCUUCCUGAGAUUUGGGAAGGUGUUCUCAUAAAAACUUUAAAGUUUGAAGGGGGAAUUUGAGGAAAUAUAUGUACGUUAUGAUCCUUAAAAAUGUUGUCCGAUUAAUCAAUUAUUUUGCACGAUUAAAAUUAUGUAAUCCAGAUGCCGUAAUGGGCCACUUCUGUUAGCGAAGAGUGAAGGCAAGCGCAUGCAAACCAGCCAGUUAGAAAAAGAAAAAAAGAAAAGGCACGCAGUUCCUGGGGAAUGUGGCCGUCCACCAUGUCUCCCAUUAAUUCAUAGCCGUUUAUAUCCUGUCCGUGAAUUUCAUGUCAGCCUACCCCAAAAGUUCAGCAGGUUGUUUAUUAAAGAACUGGUUACGCUUUACAAGUUGUAUCAAGUCACCUACGGUUUAACAAUUUUUGACACUUCAAUUUUAAAUGUAAAUUAAUUAACACUACAUAGCAUGCACAAUCUCUACAAAGACUAGAAAUUCUAGCUAGGCCUUCAGGUAAACUCGUAUCAUUAAUAGACUUGUUUUAUUUCUUCAUCUGUUCCAAAUUAUAAUUCACUAAUUAUAACAAAAUUAACUAAUUUUUGUUAAUUUGUGUGAAAAUCAAUAAUACUAUCAAAGUGGGACGAAUUGAUAGAGUAUUUUGUUCUGUCAAAGACUAUAAUUAGUGGUAUCUAUUUAGUUUCUAACACACUUUAGCGACCUUGUAAGUUAAUAAAGUGAAAGGAAUAAAAGAUAGUAGCUAGUUACCGUUGGUUGAAAAGAAUAACAAAAUGAUCAGCAACAUAACAUGCUGCUUUUCACCAAACGAAAUUAGCACCAGCAAUCGUCUGCAGAGUUUCUUGUUCUUUAGAAGAAAUGUGGGGUGGUAAAAGGCCCUUCGUACAUCUCUAUCUCGUUGUAAGAUUGCGUAAAGCUUCUGGAGUCCAAGAAUUUUUAGGGGAUGCACGAGCUUGUUGAUAAGAUGAUUUCUUUUUGUUUGUGUUAGGCAGAUGGUCUGGUUGUUAUACGUACGUUUCUCCGAAUUCUGUUGUUUUCUGCUUCUCUCUGGCUUUUAGGCUUUUCCAGAUCAUCUUUCAUGGAGUUUCACGAGGUCGAAAAUGACUAGUUUUUGUCCGUGAUAUGGAAGAAACAAGAAUUAUAAGCCAAGACAACUAGCAGCGAAUCAUGUUUCAGUUUAUGAAGGAAGUUCUGGGGUCUGGAUACACGCUGUUCUUUAGCAGAUUUUUUGUAAAGCAACAAUUUUUUUUUCCCAAAUAAAUGGAUAAUUUGUUGGGAAUAUUCGUCUUUUAUUUAGUACUUUUGUCGGCCAAUGUCAUUGUAGUCUUAAUGCAAAGAGUCAUUAUAGCUCGUGUUAAAGCAUUUCUCACUAUUAUCAUUUCAUCUUCCCUAAAAAUGUGUCAUUUUCAUCUCCGCUAAAGUGUGCACACAAGCAGGAAUGAGUAUAUAUACGCAUGUGCAAUAUUUGAUAAUCAAAAUUAAAUUGAGAUUAGUUGUCGUACAUUUAAUACAUUAUGAGUGUCCAUAACGAAAAAUAUUUGUAUUGGACGAAAUUAGAAUUGACGAUCUUAUAUACUGUAAUCGAUACGUACAAAGAUCUCGAAUAUAAAGUGAAAGACAAAUGAUUUUCAUCACUUUUCAAUUUUGGGCUAUCCUUUUUCUCGAUGAAUAGUUGAGGUACAUGGUUUAAGUUAAAAAAGUAUAGGCAGAUACCAUAAUCAUGAAAUGGUAGAGAAUCAACAAGGUAAUUGAGUGAAAUCUAUUUGAUAGAGUUGCCUAAUCGUUCAAUUCAUGGUAGCUAGUGCAUAAUCUAUGUAACCACUAAAAGCUUAAUUUAACUAAUAAUAAAUGCCAUCAUUGCCACAAUUCAAUUGAUAACUCGGGCAAACCUUGUAGGGCCGCAGGAUCCAGUAGCUUACUACAAUUGUUCAGCUAAAUUGAAAAAAAAAAAAUUUUUUUUUUUUUGGUAUGAUUGAUUGUUUUGUUUAUGCUUACACAGAAUAGCAACAUAUAAAAGUUUGGAUUAUGGUGAUGAUAAUUCCAGCAAAGUAGUGGUGACAUGAUCGUUGAUGCAGGCAAUAUCUGCUGUUGAUGAACAACCUGAGUCAUCAUUCUGUCAAGCUUAUAAAGUUAAUUAGGGUAGAAUUGUUUCUUUAGGUCAUAAAGUUAAUUCUGCAUUAGUGCAGAUUUAUUGAAUGAAAUGAUUUCUUCUGUUAAAAAAAAAAACUCCGUCUCUUUCGCUUAGAUUGUUAGUGAUCACGGAAAAGAUGCAAUUUUUUUGAUAAAAAAUGACAAUCCAAACAGGUUUGCUGUUGUAAGCUGCCAGAUCCCAGUUACACCAAUCUGGGUUGAAAUCAAACCAUUAAAUCCAUCAUGAUGGUUUACAUUCAACAGUUGCAGUAACACGACAGUUCAUUGACAAGUCAAGAGGUUUUCGAAGGGAUCCAUGGUAUUUACUAUUAUUUAUGUAUGGUCCAAUAGCUCGUCCUCAGCUUUCCAGACAAACGACAUAUGCAACAUCUGAAAGUGACUAUUUAUGACUCGUCAAUGGGAGAGGCAGAUGGCCGAAGAAAGAGUGUUUCAUAAGAUGGAUCCCACCAAGGGAAGGAGUGAUCAAAGUCAACGUUGAUGGUGCCUCAGAAAGGAAUCCUGGAAGAGCUGGAGUUGGUGGGCUCAUUCGGGAUACGGCAGGAAUAUGGUUAGGAGGGUUUGCAGAGAGUAUAGGGAAAGCAAGUAACAUAGCGGCUGAGCUAUGGGGAAUUCUUAAAGGAAUGCAGCUGGCUUGGGAUAAAGGAUACAACGAAGUAAUUGUAGAGUCGGACUCGAAAGUGGGUUUGGAGUUAAUAGAGGAUGAAAUGAUCACAUCGCCUUACCAUAAUCUGGUGAAACAGAUUAGGAACAUGAAGAGCCGAGAUUGGUCAUGCAAGCUGCAACACAUCUGGAGGGAAGAAAAUCGACGUGCAGAUUGGCUAGCCAAGGAAGCAAUCCGUUUACAGUCAUCAGGACGAUUAGAAGAGCCACCGGAAGGACUAAGGGAGUUACUAGGAGCUGAUAUAAUUGGGGUCACAACCCCACGCUUAAUACCAUGUUAAAAGGCAGUGGCCUCUCCUUUGUAUUCAAAAAAAAAAAAAAAAAGUGACUAUUUAUAUAUAUAUAUGAACUUAUAGCAUCUCUGCAACUAGAAAGGGACUGAGAUGGAAUGGUGAAUGACCCCUCUUUAGUUUUUGGGGAACGGAGAGAACUUCUGGCAUUGGUCAAAAAAGAUGAGAUGUGUCCACAUUUGAUUUCUUGGUGUUUUAGGGAAGAGAGAGCAUUGGUGGAUGACCAACUUUAGACCUUUUUACCGAAACUGAGAAGACAAAAAGCUCUCGAGACCAAUAUCUUCUCACCUUUAGUUCACAGGAGGAAGGGAAAAAAAAUGAGGACCAAAACUUUAAUGCUAAUAACAGAGGGAUUAAUUUUUGAGUUAAAUGUACUGCUGCAUUUAGGCAAUUUUUCAAAAUUAGCUUCUCACUUUAUAUAUAUAUAAAAAAAGCAGUAUUAACGAGUGUAAAUUGAAUACCUAUUAGCCAAAUCCUAUAUACUAAAUAGAAAACAUAUGAAAAAAAAGGUAAUAACAAAUACAAUAGUUCUUACUUUAGAAACUAAAAUACAUAUUGUAUUGAUUUCAUAAAGGUAGAUUUGGAGACAAACCACUACUAGUGAGAGAUCCGUGAGGAGUUGUCGGCAUUGCACCACUCCCUCUCAAAACAUGAUCACAAUAAUUCAAUGUUAACUCUAUGACAAAGGACAAAUCCCUAAUUAUGUGCGUUAUUGGAGCUUCUCAUGGUCAUUUAGUAUUAGCACUUUUUCUUCAAAUGCCAUGCAAACAUGCCCAAAUAAAACCCACCGUGACCGUGGGAGAGCAAGCAAUUGUUUGGAAAUGUUUUUUCUUUUUUAGAAAAUUUUUAUAUUUUUUGUGAAUAUAUUUUUUAAUUAUUCUUUUACUUUAUAUAAAUCAGAUCGCUACCAUGUAUUUUUUUCACGGAAACUCCAAAAUCUAGCAAUCCAACAACAAGGGUGGUUAAAUACGAAGAAGAAGAAGAAGAAGAAGUAGAAGAAGAGGAGAAACAAAAGACAUAUAUUGGAAAGGGGGGGGGGGGGAAAACACAACAUGCCUCAUUCCUCAAAUCCAUCAAGUUAUGACGGAGAGGAAUUUCCAGCGAUACAGUCAUAAUAAUAGUAAGUAGCAGUUAUUAAUGACUUGAAAAAGAACGGCUGUCAGUUUGCUGUGGCAUCGUACGGAGAUAAGAGUAGCGUUUGAUUUGAUUUCCAAGGAAUAUCUUUUAACUGUCUGUCCCCCGAGAAAAUGCGUUUGCUUGCUUGCUGGCUAUGGAUACGGUGGAGAGGGCAUCGUGGUUGGUUCAGUUAAAAGCAAAGUCAUUCUCUGACGUUCACUCCACACCUUCAUCCUUGAAUCUUGAUCCUUAAUCCCUUCAUUCCCAUCCCUCUCUCACCAGUCUUUCACGUUCCAACUUUCAAGACACUUUUUUCUUGGAAAAAAAAAAUAAUAAAACAGUUUACCACAAAAACUCACAAAAUCCCAAGAGUUAAAUUGGUCAUAAAGAUAGAAUCUCACGUCUUAAUAGUUGCUUCAAUCUGUUCCAUCCCGUGUACGCCCAUUCCACCACUAGCCUUUAGGCCAUUCAUAUUUGAGGGUCGCUAGGAAAAGGCCACCUUUCUACUCUUUCUUGCUUUCUAACAGCAUAGUAGUACUUGUGAAUAUUCUCCCACCCUUUUCCGUCUCUCCCCUCUGUUUCAAACCAUUCUGCUGCUCUGCAACCUGCAUCACCCCCUCACCCUCUUCGACCAUAAAUUACUGAUAACAUAGUACGGUGUUAGCAUCCUCGUCACUUAGUUAUUUCCUCCACUGUAAAAACCCAAUCUCGUUUCUUAAACUCCUUGUGUUUUAUGGUUUAGUAGAAUCAUUUUGCUUAUCUGGGCUUUAUCCGGGAUAAGGAAAUAAGAUAUGGGUUCAUUUUGUACCAGUAAAAGGAGUGCUCUUUAUGCUAUCUUUCUUUGUGUUUUUCUUGUUCAGCUAUGCCACUCUGCUUCUUCCAAGGUAAACUCGCCUGUUUUUCUUCGCGGAGCACGUUUCUACAGCCAUUCAAAAUCUGGACAUAAGUGAUAAUUUGUCUAAUUCAUAUGCUUUUUUGUUUUUUUGGGUCCUCUGCAGUUGUAUGUGGUUUAUAUGGGCAGCAGAGGAAGUGAUGAGCCAGAUGAGAUUUUGAGGCUAAACCGUCAAAUGCUUACUGUUGUCCACAAAGGAAGGUCUAGUCUUUCUCCUUUUUCAGUAAGCAUGACAUAUUUUUGGAUCUUUGAUUUCUCGUUUGAAUCAACGCAUCAUCUUGAUACAGUGUGGAACAAGCAAUGGACUCGCAUGUGCGUAGUUAUAGACAUGGUUUUCGAGGCUUUGCUGCCAAGUUGACGGAAGAACAAGCUUCUGAAAUUGCAAGUAUGACAACUAAUUUCUAUUAUAUUUUUUUUUAUCUUUGUUAAUCUUAUGUGGAGUAAAGAUAUGGUUUUUGAGACUUGAGAAAUGAUAAGACCAUUACUAUUCAAUCAAUUCUGGGCCAAGAAGCUAAUCAUGCAAUUUUGUAUUUAUGUUGUAUUACUAUUGGUCAAGCCAAAACAGAAAAUGCCAGAACUUUGUAUCAGUAUUUCCUACAGAAAUUAUUAAUGCUGUUUUGUAUUUAUGUUGUGUUGGUCAAACUAAAACAGAAAUGCCCGGAGUAGUAUCCGUAUUUCCCAAUACCAAGAGGAGUCUGCACACUACUCAUUCAUGGGAUUUUAUGGGCCUCAUUAAUGAAGAGACUAUGGAAAUACCUGGUUAUUCAACCAAAAAUCAAGUGAAUGUUAUUAUUGGUUUCAUUGAUACAGGUGAUUUCUCUGUGCCUUUUGUUGAGUGUUUGUUAACUACUUUGAUCAAGUAGGUAGACAUGUGACAACAAUGGUCCCUUCAUUGAUAGCUUGGCAAGGAAAGGUGGUUGUCGCUUAGGUGUUCCUGUUCCUGGUGCAAAGUCUAGCUGUUUAUUUAUAUUUUCAGUUAUACUUUUCUUAGUUGAGAAACAUUAAGGACUAAGAUGUAACACUUAGCAGUUGCUGCCUAAUUUCUUAUCGAGUACAAUCCCCCUGGCUCAGAAGAAAAUGUUUAAUUGAUGGAAAUGUUUUCUAGUACUUAAGGUUUCAAUUUCCUUUUCAUGCUAAAUGUAAUUUUUUUUUAAAUAAAUGGGACUUUUUUCUUUUCCAUUUUUUGGAUCACAGCAAUGGUGAUACUGUUAGUAAGCAUAAAUUAUUGUUUGUCAACGGUUUCCAUUUCUUCUAUACAAUAUAAUUGUACAGUUGGGCAGCUAUAGUUGGGUGUGGGUGUUGGGAAUGACAGGUUCUACCAGUUUUACCCUGCUUACGUUGCUUCAGUAUGGCACAAACUUUGAAUUACAUACCUGGUAGGAUGAUGCUCUGUGCAACAGGAAUUUGGCCUGAGUCACCAAGUUUCAGUGACGCUGACAUGCCUCCAGUGCCAGUUGGAUGGAAAGGAGAAUGCCAAUCAGGGGAAGCAUUUAAUGCUUCAACAUGCAAUAGGUGUUUCUGAUAGUUGUCUUGCUUAACCAGCUAGUCAUUCAAGUUCCUUUUAAUGGUGCAUUUGAUAUUGAGACCUGGACAAAUUUGUAAUCCUGCAGGAAAGUAAUAGGUGCAAGAUAUUACUAUAGUGGCUAUGAAGCUGAAGAAGAUGCAGGAGAGACCACCACGUCUUUUAAGUCCCCAAGGGACAGCUCAGGCCAUGGCAGUCACACAGCUUCAACUGCUGCUGGUCGUUAUGUGCAGAACAUGAAUUAUAAGGGCUUAGCAGCUGGAGCAGCCAGAGGGGGUGCACCAAUGGCUAGGAUUGCAGUGUACAAGACUUGCUGGAGCUCUGGUUGCUAUGAUGUUGAUCUUUUGGCUGCUUUUGAUGAUGCAGUUAGAGAUGGAGUUCAUAUCAUUUCUCUAUCUCUAGGACCUGAUGCUCCCCAGGGCGAUUACUUCAAUGAUGCCAUUUCCAUAGGGUCGUUCCAUGCAGUUAGCCGGGGAAUAGUGGUGGUUGCUUCAGCUGGAAAUGAAGGAAGUGCUGGAUCAGCAACAAACCUUGCUCCAUGGCUGAUUACUGUUGCUGCUAGUUCAACCGAUAGGGAUUUUAGAUCUGAUAUCAUUUUGGGAAAUAGAGCUCAUGUCACGGUAAUGGCUUGUGAUCUCUAAGAAAUGGUGAUCUUUAAUUAUUCCUCCGCCUUACUAGAAACUAUUCAUUGAAUAGGGAGAAAGCCUGACUCCACUUGAGAUGAAUGCAUCAGCACGAAUCAUCCCUGCUUCUGAAGCUUAUGCUGGAUAUUUCACUCCUUAUCAAUCCAGGUGAAGCAAAAGGUACUUCGCUAAGUGUACAUUGCAGAUAUUAAUCCAGAGACAGGAAUCCCUAAUUUAUUUUCUUUUCUUUUGUUCAUCACACUAGUUACUGUUUAGAUAGUUCUUUGAAUAGUACAAAGGCGAGAGGGAAGGUUCUGGUUUGCAGACAUUCUGGAAGUUCAACUGAGUCAAAGCUAGCAAAAAGUGUAGUUGUUAAUGAAGCUGGGGGAGUCGGGAUGAUUUUAAUAGAUGAAUCAGACAAGGAUCUUGCUGUUCCCUUUGUCAUCCCUGCAGCAAUUGUUGGGAAGCAAUUGGGUUCGAAAAUCCUGUCUUAUAUCAAUAAUACACGGUUAGUUUCUUCUUUCAGAGAGGUCCUGUCAAGUAUUUGGUUUGGGUAAGCUCUUCAUAUGAUUUAUUGUUUCAUGUUGCAGAAAGCCUUUGUCAAGAAUUCUAUCUGCUCAGACUGUACUGGGAUCUCAACCUGCUCCUCGAAUAACAGCAUUUUCUUCAAAAGGCCCCAAUGUUCUUACCCCCGAAAUUUUGAAGGUAACUCAUCUAUAAGAAGAGGCACAAUCCUUAGACACAGCAACUUCUAGAAAAUUCAUUGUGUUUUCUCAUCAACAUCACUUUCUGGUUUCAAAUUUGUGAACAUCUUGAAGCUGAAAAUUCUAUCAUUCACACCAAUCCUCUGUUUCAUCUUGGGUUUUUUUAUUAACUCCUGGUGACUAAUAGAGGGGAGGGCAGGAUUUUUUUUCCUUUUGCCCACUCAUGCUUGGUUUAUAACUUGUUUGCCUUUGUAGCCUGAUGUUGCAGCUCCUGGGUUAAACAUUCUGGCUGCCUGGUCUCCAGCAACUGCAAAAUUAAAGUUUAAUAUUCUAUCUGGAACUUCAAUGGCCUGCCCACACGUAACUGGGAUUGUGGCUCUUAUAAAAGCAGUGCAUCCUUCAUGGUCACCAUCUGCUAUCAAAUCUGCAAUUAUGACAACAGGUAAGCUCACAUGUCCUGCACGGGGAAACUCAUGCACUAUAUAGCUCUUCUAUAUGGCUCCUGAUUUUUUGUUUUAUUAGUUACUUUUUGUUACAAAGUAGUGAAAUUUGCAUAUGUUGAUGCCAAGCUAGGAGAGAAUGUAAGCAAUUUUUAUACUCCGGGAUAUAUAACAUUCAUAUCAGUGAAUAUGCGUCUAUCUAGAUCAUAUAAAUUUGCAAGUUAAAACCAUUUCUUCAAUGAAUCUGACUUUUCAACAUAAAUGCAGCUACUGUUUUGGAUAAGCAUCACAAGCCAAUCACAGCAGACCCUGAGGGGAGAAGAGGAAAUGCAUUUGAUUAUGGCUCUGGCUUUAUAAACCCCUCUAAAGUACUUGAUCCAGGUCUAGUUUAUGAUGCGAAGCCUACAGAUUAUAAAGCCUUUCUCUGUUCAAUUGGUUAUGAUGAGAGAUCGCUUCACCUGAUCACAAGAGACAACAGCACCUGCGCUCAAUCAUUUGCAACAGCAUCUGACCUUAAUUAUCCAUCUAUUGUAGUCCCUAAUCUUAAACAGAACUUCUCUGUGAUCAGAACUUUGACGAAUGUGGGAAGGCAAAGAAGUAUCUACAAAGCUGUUGUAUUUGCUCCCAAAGGAGUCAAUGUUACCGUUGUACCUCGACGAAUAGUCUUUGAUAGCUACGGGCAAAAGAUUAACUUCACUGUCAAUUUUAAGGUAGCUGCUCCACCAACGGGUUAUGUUUUUGGAUCUCUGUCGUGGAGGAACAGAAGAUCAUGGAUAACAUCCCCGCUUGUCAUCCGAGCAAUGCAUUCCAAGAUGGGACUGGUAUUUUAGGCCUGGCUUUAGAAGAGAGACAGCUCGUGGCUUCUGAAAUUACAGCAGAUAUAGGCAAGUAAAAGCAAAUGUACAUUCAUAAGAUAAAGACAGGAAGAGUUUCCUGCAUUAUUGAAUGCACACAUUCUUUUGAAGAUAGCAAAAAUGUGAUCAGUUGCAGUCUACCGCAAAUAUGCAUAAUUUCGAACUUAUUCAUUGUCUAUUGUCUAUCUUCUCCAUUUCGUCUACUGCGUUGACAAUUUGUCCUAUCCACUGUUUUAAAGCAUCAAAUGAUUGAUCCCCACACAAGAAUUUUUAUGAUGUUUCGCUCGAAAACUGUGGAUAGAAACCUCCCUCAAAAUUCCCCUUCACUUUUGUGUGUAUGGACUCCCAAGUCUCCAAGAUGGUCCGUCAGAGGGUUUUAGUCUCGCGUUACUUUCAUGGAAUCAGCUGAUUAAUUCAUCAAUAUUCAGGAACCAAAUUUGAGCCUGACGCCUCACCUUUUCACAAAAAGAAAUUGUGCUGUAUGAUAAAGGGGCGUAGAAAAGUCAUUUUAGUUGAAAGCUCACAAAUUCGUCUAACACAGAAGGCAUAUGUAAUCUCCAAUUGCUAGAAGAAAAACGGAUGCAGAGGUAUAAUCUCCAACUGUGACCAAAUGUAAAAAAUAAAAAGAAGAAAACAAUAAGUUUACAAUACUUAAAAAAUCCAACCCCGAUCAGUGUCAAAAAUUCCACCAAGAACCAGCCGCUUGCGAGCAUCACAAGUAUAUGUUUCAGAAGCAUACAUUAGGAUUAAUAAUCGAGGUGGGACUGAACUUGUUUCUAUAAAUUGUAUCAUCUCAUAUCUACAAAUCAAGUACUCUAGACUGGACCACCUCCAGAGAACAGGAAAAUCGAGUUAUUCACUGGCCUUGGAAACUUCUAGAGGAUCGAUCAGGCCUUCUAACACAACAAGCUCAUCUAAUAGUGAUAAUUUCUCUUCUUCAAGGGCCUUAAUGUCAUCUU